GAUGUACAACCAAAGAAAGGAAAGUCAAUUACAACUCAGUGGAUUCCAAAGUCCUAAAAAGCUCAUAGCUUGCAUUGCGGAAUAGAUAGCAAAAGAUGGAUACUGAACUGAAACAUCAAAAUGGCAUAUAAAAAAUCCUAGAACUUAUGCUCUGGUAACAGG